rnacentral:lncRNA from 1 species
AAUUUGUUAGUUAAAGAAAUGAUGUUUUCAAGUUUUUUUUGGAAGAAAUGAUGUUUUCGAGCUUGGUUUAGUGGAGAAAUAUAAUGUCAUAAAUGAAAAAUGAUGUUUGGAGGUAGGAAAUGAAGUUCGUCUAAGUUGGAAGUUCAUGUAAAUUUUAGGUUUCACGCGAAUCACUAAUGGUAGUGUCUUGAGCGUUGACACUCACUAAAUGGAUGACAAAUAUUUGUUUAAGAACAAUGAAGAAACUCAAUAAACACGCUUAUAUUUCCCCAUGACCUUGACUGAUAUUUCAC